rnacentral:lncRNA from 1 species
UGGCCCAUCCUGUCUCCAGCCUGAGUCAGAUGAUUAGUGCGGAAGGGAUGAAUGCUGGAGGGUACGGAAACCUCUUGAUGAACAGUGAACAGCCUCAGGGCGAGUAUGGGGUUACUAUUGCCUUUCUGCGCUUGAUCACCACCCUUGUCAAGGUACAGUCUGAUUUUGUUCACAAAGGGCAGAAAAAGAAAAGGUCCAGUCUUGUCAGAUGACUCUGAAAUAGUUUCCCUGGCCCCUGGUGCUGUAAUCUUCUUGUCUGUAGGCAGAAUAGUCAUCUUGAAGUUACAGUGACAACAGUUUCUAUGUAUUGAGUACCUAGUAUGUGCCAGUUAUGUACUCUAUUAGGUGCUUAAUUAUGUGAAUUUAUUUAAUGAUUGGAAGGUUUAUGAAGUAGAAUGGA